UAGGGCGCGAGCGUUGUCCGGAUUUAUUGGGCGUAAAGAGCUCGUAGGUGGUUUGUCGCGUUGUCCGUGAAAACUCACAGCUUAACUGUGGGCGUGCGGGCGAUACGGGCAGACUGGAGUACUGCAGGGGAGACUGGAAUUCCUGGUGUAGCGGUGAAAUGCGCAGAUAUCAGGAGGAACACCGGUGGCGAAGGCGGGUCUCUGGGCAGUAACUGACGCUGAGGAGCGAAAGCAUGGGGAGCGAACAGG
rnacentral:rRNA from 1 species